AGACAGAUUCUGCGCAAUUGACGCCGCCCAACCCCGCCAGGGUCGGAAGACAGCAACGGUAAGCGGUCAGUUGAUGUGACGCAGGCGAUUUGUCUCCU
rnacentral:SRP_RNA from 1 species